rnacentral:lncRNA from 1 species
CAAAAUGUACUUAGAAGUCAGGAGAUCCUCUGGGUAUUUACUGGUAUUCCUCUGCCUAGUUUUAACUGUAAACAGUCCAGUAAAGCAACACCACCUAAUAAGUGCAUGGUAACCAGAAUGUGGAACCUUCAGGGGUAAGGUCUCCUACAGCUCCCCACAAGGCAACUACGUAGACCAAAAUAAGUACUAGAUGAAGAGACUCUUGACUGGAUAGCAGAAGAGGUACAUGAUGAAUGUCAGUUAUGGCCUUGGACCAACUGCAGCAGUGCAUGCUGCCAUUGACUGAACUAAUUGUUAUAUUUAGAGUUUUCCAGAAACUGUGGCUUACCAACAUCUUAGAGAAGCCAUGUUUAGAUGCAACAAAUCAAAUGUGAGAAGCCAGGAGACCUGAGGCAUACAAUGAGUGACUGUGACGGAGACUAAUGGUAUCCCAUUUGGAUUCCCUGUACUGGAAGAGUUGUAUCUCAGCUGCCUUGGGAGUUUGUAUCACAGCUGCCUCCUAUUUCAGAGACUUAUUGUAGUCUAAAUAGAAGCCACUGGAUUGCCUGAUAGGUUAUACUCCACCGUAGGGGGCAGGCUGCAGUCAGUGAAUACUGAAAACUUCCCUGGCCCCAAGUUCAGACUAAUCAGUGGGACAAUUUGUCCUGCAGAGUCUCUGAUAGGAUGAGACUGAGGUAAGGUGUCUAGGAGUCCACAUGCUGGCUCUACUCAUAUCAUCAACUUCCAGGAAAGAAAUCAUAAAGUUACUUUAUCAGGACACAGAACUUAACUUGACAACCAGAGUCUUACAUUUAAAAAUACCUGAAUAAAACUCAUUCACUAACUCAGAAGAAAUUUGAAAGACUAUGAAAAUCGUUGAAUACAAUAUAGAAGUUUUUAUUCCAAAACAGUGAAAAGGUGAGAAUGUUUUAUAUAUCAAUAUAAAAAUUGACCUGAAGUACCCAUGACAUUGAAUAUAUAUCUUUUGAAGGCA